rnacentral:rRNA from 1 species
AAGUCGUAACAAGGUCUCCGUUGGUGAACCAGCGGAGGGAUCAUUACUGAGUUACAUACUCCAAAACCCUUCUGUGGACCCCUAAAACGUUGCCUCGGCGGGCUCGCCUGCCGCUGGCCUCACCAACAAAAUUCUAAAUAUACAUCUGAGUGGCGCAGACUAUAAAAUAAGUCAAAACUUUCAGCAACGGAUCUCUUGGCUCUGGCAUCGAUGAAGAACGCAGCGAAAUGCGAUAAGUAAUGUGAAUUGCAGAAUUCAACGAAUCAUCGAAUCUUUGAACGCAUAUUGCGCCCGCUGGUAUUCCGGCGGGCAUGCCUGUUCGAGCGUCAUCAAACCCCCUCGGGCCGCACCUCCUAGCGGGGAAGCGGCCCGGCGUUGGGGCGUCGCGGGUCCCCCCGGGUCUCGCGUGCCCCUAAAUUCAGUGGCGGACGCCCCCGAGCCUCCCAGCGCAGUAACUUCGGUCUCGCUGACGGUGGACGGGAGCGGCCCCUGCCCAACAAAACACCCCAUGAGUUUGACCUCGGAUCAGGUAGGACUACCCGCUGAACUUAAGCAUAUCAAUAAGCGGAGGAAAAGAAACCAACAGGGAUUGCCUUAGUAACGGCGAGUGAAGCGGCAACAGCUCAAAUUUGAAAUCUGGCCUCGGCCCGAGUUGUAAUUUGCAGAGGAUGCUUCUGGCGACGCGCCUUCCGAGUCCCCUGGAACGGGGCGCCGGAGAGGGUGAGAGCCCCGUACGGUUGGACGCCUAGCCUGUGUGAAGCUCCUUCGACGAGUCGAGUAGUUUGGGAAUGCUGCUCUAAAUGGGAGGUAAAUUCCUUCUAAAGCUAAAUACCGGCCAGAGACCGAUAGCGCACAAGUAGAGUGAUCGAAAGAUGAAAAGCACUUUGGAAAGAGGGUUAAACAGUACGUGAAAUUGCUGAAAGGGAAGCGCUUGCGACCAGACUCGCGCCGGGCGGAUCAUCCAGCGUUCUCGCUGGUGCACUUCGCCCGGCCCGGGCCAGCAUCGGUUCUGACGGGGGGACAAAAGCCCGGGAAACGUAGCUCCCUCCGGGGAGUGUUAUAGUCCCCCGCCCAAUACCCCCGCCGGGACCGAGGACCGCGCUUCGGCAAGGAUGCUGGCAUAAUGGUCGUCAGCGACC